GCGCUUGAGGCUAUCUGCCUUAAGUUCUGACAAGUGAGGUGGAUAGUGAGGAGUGAGUUGUGCGAUUAAUUUUCAUUAACCGCACGAGCGAGCGACCCACUGACACCUAAGCAAUGUCAGGGUAGUCGCUCGCUCGUGCUAUUGCAAGGAGUAAGUGAUUAUG
rnacentral:antisense_RNA from 1 species